UACAGAGGUCUCAAGCGUUGUUCGGAUUCAUUGGGCGUAAAGGGUGCGUAGGCGGCGCGGUAAGUCGGAUGUGAAAUCUCGGAGCUUAACUUCGAAACUGCAUUCGAUACUGCCGUGCUUGAGGACUGGAGAGGAGACUGGAAUUUACGGUGUAGCGGUGAAAUGCGUAGAUAUCGUAAGGAAGACCAGUGGCGAAGGCGGGUCUCUGGACAGUUCCUGACGCUGAUGGACGAAAGCGUGGGUAGCGAACAGG
rnacentral:rRNA from 1 species